rnacentral:rRNA from 1 species
CCUACGGGAGGCAGCAGUGGGGAAUAUUGCACAAUGGGGGGAACCCUGAUGCAGCAACGCCGCGUGAAGGAAGACGGUCUUCGGAUUGUAAACAUCUAUCAAUAGGGAAGAAAGAAAUGACGGUACCUAAAUAAGAAGCAUCGGCUAACUACGUGCCAGCAGCCGCGGUAAUACGUAGGGGGGAAGCGUUAUGAGGAAUUACUGGGUGUAACGGGAGAGUAGGCGGAAAUGUAAGGGAUAUGUGAAAGCCUUAGGCUUAACCUGAGGAUUGCAUAACGAACUAUCUAGCUAGAGUACAGGAGAGGAAAGCGGAAUUCCUGGUGUAGCGGUGAAAUGCGUAGAUAUUAGGAAGAACACCGGUGGCGAAGGCGGCUUUCUGGACUUAAACUGACGCUGAGGCUCGAAAGCGUGGGGAGCGAACAGGAUUAGAUACCCUGGUAGUC